rnacentral:rRNA from 1 species
CAGCCGCCGCGGUAAAACGAAGGGGGCUAGCGUUGUUCGGAUUUACUGGGCGUAAAGGGUGCGUAGGCGGACUGAUAAGUUAGGGGUGAAAUCCCUAGGCUCAACCUUGGAACUGCCUUUGAUACUGUUAGUCUUGAGUUCGAGAGAGGUGAGUGGAACUGCGAGUGUAGAGGUGAAAUUCGUAGAUAUUCGCAAGAACACCAGUGGCGAAGGCGGCUCACUGGCCCGGUACUGACGCUGAGGCGCGAAAGCGUGGGGAACAAACAGGAUUAGAUACCCGCGUAGUCCCUGUCUCUUAUAC